AACGACCCAACAAGGAGUCAAAGCGGUGCUCCCCAUCUAUUCUUCUCUGGAUUUGUCCCCCACAAGAUUUGGCCCUGUUCUCCUCUUCUUCGUUGCCCAAGCCGCCCCUGCAGCUCCCCACCGGCAGAAGACCACCACGAGGAUCUCUGCGUCCCCAUCUCCUCCUUAUCUGAGCUUCACCGGCGCGGCGCGCCUGACCUCACCAGCACGCCGCUCCCGCUCGCGUCCUGCUCCGUGCCUCCAUUGAGCGAGGCUGGUUCGGCAGGUGUAGAGCCGGCGUGAACCUCGCGCUCGACAUGGCUGUCCGGGCCGCCACGGAGGGCGCACAGCCUGACGGCGUCACCUCUGCUUCCUCCUGGCCGUACACCUGUACUUCACCGGGAAGGAGGUGGUGGGCACGCAGUUCGCCUUCAUCGCGGAGGUCUCUGGAGGUUCAUCUUCCUAGCCUCGCUAGGGCUGGGCGACCCCUCAUAGUCCCAUUCAUCUCUGGCCAAGAUCCCGUUCGACGGCCUGCUCCUGUUCAUGGCGGAAUUCCCUGUCUCCUAUUCUUCCCAGUCCUAUGUCUCCUCCCGCGCCCCUUGAUGAGGGACAUGGGGAUCUGGUGCGGGCCGAUUAUGCCCGCCGAUUUUGGACGGUGGCGACCUGCGAUGGCCGACAAGAAGCGAAUGGUCGUCUUCAACGCGCACGUGUAGUGCUUACCAUGGAUGCCGAAUAGCUGUUUGGUCGUUUCAGCGCAACGGAGCUCAACCAAGAGCGCUUGCUUUCUUUUUUUCUUUAUCUGCAAUGUUUGUGGAAAGGAUGAUAUGAAUGCUGAGUAAUUUCGAAUCGAGAGCGCCUGGACUAAAGAGGAGUUGUGUGAGGAUUUUGAUGUGGUCUUGGGGCGCAGGAAAAGUGGAUAAGUCUUUUUCGAGGGUUACAUGAUUAUGAGUUCAGUUUAGUUCGCUAUGUUCCUUAGAAGUAGAAAAAUCUUCAGUUUAGGUUAGUGGAAUCUGUGUGAUGUAUAAUACUUUGCUUCUCUCUGUUGACUUUUCUUUAUUUUUUGUAGUUCUACAUAGGAGGAUUCUAAUAUACUCCAUGGUUAGUUUGUAGUUCUACACAUGACGAUUUGAGUAUGAAGCUAUGUAAAUCACAGCUUCAUGCCUUUAGUGAAGACAGUUGGGUUACUUUCAAGACUGCUGACGCAUCAGCUCUGAGUGUUCCGAGGUUGCUGUGUUGAUCUGGGAGCAAGAAUUCAAGAGAGUCAGAAAAGAUUAUAAAAUACAGAGGUACAAACUUGCCUUCAACGCAAGAGAUAUCCAACCUAAUGAAGAGAAACAAAUAAGUGAGAGGACAAUUCAUGUUUUUUGGCGACCACAGCAAAACACUUACAUGCCAUGCCGCAGACUUGGUUAUCCCAAGAGGGAAAGGCAGAACAAACUAUAUGCCACCUUCUGUAAAUGGUAUAGUUAGAAGAAAAUGCAUUGUCGUAGCCGAAGUUCAGCCAGAAGCCAUGUUGACAACAUAUCAUUCCACGUCUCCAGUACUUAAUUGAUCAGCACUAUAGAUUCAGAGACACAAUCCAGUAGCACACCUAAACUGUCGGCAAGUAUUCCAAAAUUUACACGGCUUGCUCUGCUAGAAAAUAUUGCAACACCAUCAGGCAACAACAAAAUCUCAGAGGCAACAUCAACUAAAGAGAUCGUAGAAGCCAUCGAUUCAGAUUUAGAAGAGGAAGUAGACUCCACAACAAGACGCAAGAAAAGAAAAGCACAGAAGUCAAUCAGUAUGCCACCGAACAAAGGUAGCUGCUUACAUUUAAUUCAUAAGAACAAUGCUAACUGAACCUAUGUUGUCAACUUACAACCUGUCUAUUUGUUUGCAUUACAACCAACGAGAAAAGAAAGGUAAACACGGAACUGUUCCCACCUAAAUAGGAGCCUAAACCCAUCAAGUAAGAACUCAAGGUGCACACGAUAUUAACCUCACUGUGUCAUAUUGAUUAGUGUACUAAGGUUGCUGAAGUUUUGAAGGAUGUUCAAGUGGGUCUGAUUAAGAGUGUUUCCGCAGUUUACAAAGUUGAACCUUCCAAAAACCUACAUGUGCCUCUGGAAUCUUGAGACCAACAGAAGAUUACCGAUAUCUACUGCCAAACUGACAUACAUGCCAUGACAUCCGCUUUGUUAGAGAAUUUUACUACUUCAAUGCUGACAAAUAUGAGCAUCCUUUUAAUAUCUGUUAUAGGACAAGUCUUUUCUAUAUAGUUUUUCGUAAUAUCGAUAGCCUUUCUCUAGAAGGAUCAAAUUAAACUCUUAAGCAAAUCAUUCAUCCAGUGAAGGUGUUCUUGACCAGUAUUUU